rnacentral:rRNA from 1 species
GAUGAACGCUAGCGGCAGGCUUAAUACAUGCAAGACGAACGGUAAGUGUUGUAGCAAUAUAGCACGAGAGUGUCGUACGGGUGCGUAACACGUAUGCAACCUACCUUGUACAGGAGGAUAGCUCGGGGAAACUCGAAUUAACCCUCCAUAAUAUAUUUGAAUGGCAUCAUUUGAAUAAUUAAAACCUUGGUGGUACAAGAUGGGCAUGCGUCUGAUUAGUUAGUGGUAGUGUAAUGGACUACCAAGACGAUGAUCAGUAGGGGACCUGAGAGGGUGAUCCCCCACACUGGCACUGAGAUACGGGCCAGACUCCUACGGGAGGCAGCAGUAGGGAAUAUUGGU